GACGAACGCUGGCGGCGUGCUUAACACAUGCAAGUCGAACGGAAAGGCCCUGCUUUUGUGGGGUGCUCGAGUGGCGAACGGGUGAGUAACACGUGAGUAACCUGCCCUUGACUUUGGGAUAACUUCAGGAAACUGGGGCUAAUACCGGAUAGGAGCUCCUGCUGCAUGGUGGGGGUUGGAAAGUUUCGGCGGUUGGGGAUGGACUCGCGGCUUAUCAGCUUGUUGGUGGGGUAGUGGCUUACCAAGGCUUUGACGGGUAGCCGGCCUGAGAGGGUGACCGGCCACAUGGGGACUGGGAUACGGCCCAGACUCCUACGGGAGGCAGCAGUGGGGAAUAUUGCACAAUGGGCGGAAGCCUGAUGCAGCAACGCCGCGUGCGGGAUGACGGCCUUCGGGUUGUAAACCGCUUUCGCCUGUGACGAGGCGUGAGUGACGGUAAUGGGUAAAGAAGCACCGGCUAACUACGU
rnacentral:rRNA from 1 species